AUCACGAAUGCUUACGUAGCUUACUAGAAUAUAGAGUAAAAAACCAGCUGAAAAAAACCAAAACGCUGUACGAUGAUUCUAGGGCUGACGUUAAAUUAAUUAUGAAAAUUUACAACAUGAAAGAGUGGCAAUACAAUGUAAAGAGGGUACAGAAUAGUGGGGCUUAUUAUGUAUGCCACGUGACGUAACUUAUCAAACUUCAUUUCAUAGUGCUGACUCCAGUAACCCAAUCUGAAUAGAAUAAAUUCGAUUCUUUACUCAGUCAUUUUUAAACUACGCGAACCUUUCAAAGAUGAUUGUUAAUUUUAAAAGAGGGAUUGCAAAGGCAGCUUAACUAAAAAUUUUAAUUUAUGUUGCAACGGUAACACAUGGCCGUAAGAUCAUUCUGCAAUCGCUGGCUAUGCUAUAAUUAGUUUGUAAAAACCAUAAACACUUCUUAAAGAAGUAAACAUCAAAGCACACGAGAAAUUAGUAUUCGAUUAGUACACUCAGUGGGUGACGUCAGUUUUUCAUCGGAAUCUCACUCCGACAAAGUAUUUUCACAUAUUUUGCUAAACAGAACGCAUACAAGCGCUUUACUUACAGCGAUAUCUUUUCGUGCAUUAUAAAUCGAACGGUUAUAGAAAAGUGAAUCACCAAAACGAAAAGUAUUCAGUAUUUAUCUGGCAUUAACAGUGAGCACUUGCGAUAAGUUCAAACCAAGACACCAUGGCACAAUUGGACGCCCAGUUCGUUGAAAAUACCAACAAAUUUGCAUUGGAGUUGUAUAAACAAAUAAUACUUGGAGGCCAGAAAAAAAAUGUCGUCAUAUCACCUUUUUCCAUCAGCACUUGUCUGUCGUUCGCCGGUAUGGGUGCAGUUGGCUCAACGGCAGACGAAUUGUUCACUGGUUUGAGACAUGGAACCGCCUCAGAUAAGCACGUCGUCGCUGAGAACUACGGAGCUGUGCUAAAAAAUGUGGCUGGUAACCAAAGCUUAAAGAUUGCCAACAAAAUUUAUCUCAAACAUGGCUACACAUUGAAGUCAGGUUUUCAAGAAACCGCCACCAAAUCAUUCCAUUCGGAAGCUGAAGCGGUGAAUUUCACAGACAAUGUAGCAGCCGCCAAAACUAUUAAUGAAUGGGUCGAACAUAAAACGAACAACAAAAUCAAGAAUUUAAUUGCCCCGGAUGCAUUGGAUCAAUUUACUCGCAUGGUUCUUGUAAAUGCCAUCCAUUUCAAAGGAUCUUGGACUCACCAGUUUAAAUCGGAAAACACAAGACCAAUGCCAUUCUGGAUCAGUGCCACCGAAUCCGUUAAUGUGCCCACGAUGAACCUGAAGGAGAAAUUCAAGUACGGAGUCUUUAACGAAUGGAAUAUGUCAGCAUUGGAGAUGACGUAUAGCGAUAGUGAUGUCAGCAUGUUGAUUCUUUUGCCGGAUGAACGAGAUGGGUUGCCUAAACUAGAAGAAAAUAUUCUUAACAUUAAUGUAAGCGAUAUGCUCAGUAAAAUGUACAAACAGGAAGUGGAAGUUGCUCUACCCAAGUUCAAAAUUGAAUUCGGUUUGGAACUGGAGGAACCUUUGGAGAAGCUUGGGAUGGGCAAAAUAUUCUCCGAUGAGGCAGAUUUCAGUGACCUGUUCGAACAGUCCGAAGCACUAAAGGUAUCAAAGGUCGUUCACAAGGCAUUUAUUGAAGUUAAUGAAGAAGGAGCCGAAGCUGCUGCAGCUACGGCUAUGGGCUUCGCAAUAUGUCUUCCCGAACAAUUUAAAGCUGAUCGUUCAUUUAUGUGCCUUCUUCAACAUCAUAACCAAAUAAUGUUUGUCGUAAGCAUUCAGCAACCGUGAGAAUCGUGUAUAAACUGCGGCUACCAUUAGUCAUCUAUUGCAACGACCAUAAUUAAAUUUACUCAAUACAAACCUAAGCUAUCAUGUAUGAUGAUAAUGGCAAUGUGUCUCAUUAUUCCGUCGCAGUUUACCGUCGAUCGCCCGUUUUUGUACAUGCUCGUGCAAAAUGGGCAAAUAUAUUUCAUAGGUCGCAAAACUGAAGCUUAAAAUGAUGUGUGAUAAUUAAAACCGACAAAGUGAUAACAGCACGAUGUGACAUAUGCAUUUGAACGUUCUACAAUAAAUCUACUUUUUGUUGUUGUUGUUGUUGUUAGU